rnacentral:rRNA from 1 species
UACGUAGGUGACAAGCGUUGUCCGGAUUUACUGGGCGUAAAGAGCGCGCAGGCGGUCGAUCAAGUCGAGUGUGAAAGCCCCCGGCUCAACUGGGGAGGGUCAUUCGAUACUGAUCGACUCGAAGGCAGGAGAGGGUAGUGGAAUUCCCGGUGUAGUGGUGAAAUGCGUAGAUAUUGGGAGGAACACCGGUGGCGAAGGCGGCCCCCUGGAACGGUACUGACGCUGAGACGCGAAAGCGUGGGGAGCGAACAGG